GGGGACUUAGCUCAGUGGUAGGGCGCUUGCCUAGCAAGCACAAGGCCCUGGGUUCAGUCCCCA
rnacentral:tRNA from 1 species